CGAACGCUGGCGGCGGGCUUAACACAUGCAAGUCGAAGGAGAAGGUAGAAGCUUGCUUUUACUGGAGACUGGCGGACGGGUGAGUAACGCGUAGAUAACCUGCCUAUAGCUGGGGGAUAACACUGCGAAAGUGGUGCUAAUACCGCAUAAUGCAGCGGGGCCGCAUGGCCAUAGUUGUUAAAGGUUUCGGCCGGCUAUAGAUGGGUCUGCGUGCUAUUAGUUAGUUGGUAGGGUAACGGCCUACCAAGGCGAUGAUAGCUAGGGGGUCUGAGAGGAUGAUCCCCCACACUGGGACUGAGACACGGCCCAGACUCCUACGGGAGGCAGCAGUGAGGAAUCUUGCGCAAUGGGCGAAAGCCUGACGCAGCCACGCCGCGUGCCGGAUGAAGGCCCUAUGGGUUGUAAACGGCUUUUACUAGGGAAGAACGAGAGGGUUUUGAUCUUCUGUGACGGUACCUAGUGAAUAAGCACCGG
rnacentral:rRNA from 1 species